GAGGAGAUUUUUUUUUUCUUUGCUUCAUUUGUGUCGCCUAUGCUCUCUGUCUCAGUUUUACGAUCCACCACCAAAUUUUUGUUCACCGUCGUUCUUGUCUCCGCCUGAUUGCAUCUAGGUUGUUCUCAAGAGCUUUGUGAGAAUCUCUGCUUCAGCGACUCAAACACCCGAAAGAGUUUCACAAGGGUCGUUUCGUUGUGAGUGAUGAAGAUGCUUUGUUGAAUACUCAGUGCCCGAAGAAAUUGGAGCUGCGAUGGCAUAGUGAAGUCACUUCUAGCGUUUAUGCUACACCCUUGAUUGCUGAUAUUAACAGUGAUGGAAAGCUUGACAUUGUUUUUCUCUCUUCUCUCUCCGUCGGUUCACCAUUCUCUCUGUUUCUGGGAUGGGUGAUUUCUUCAAUGAGUCGAAUCUUCGAUUUGGAAUAUUGAAAAGAAGAUAGACUUCUGACUCUUCAAAUUUGAUUCAGCCUUUAUCUAGAUUU